rnacentral:rRNA from 1 species
CAGGGCGAAAGCUGAUGCAGCGACGCCGCGUGAGGGAUGACGGCCUUCGGGUUGUAAACCUCUUUCAGCAGGGAAGAAGCGAAAGUGACGGUACCUGCAGAAGAAGCGCCGGCUAACUACGUGCCAGCAGCCGCGGUAAUACGUAGGGCGCAAGCGUUAUCCGGAAUUAUUGGGCGUAAAGAGCUCGUAGGCGGUUUGUCGCGUCUGCUGUGAAAGCCCGGGGCUCAACCCCGGGUCUGCAGUGGGUACGGGCAGACUAGAGUGCAGUAGGGGAGACUGGAAUUCCUGGUGUACGGUGAAAUGCGCAGAUAUCAGGAGGAACACCGAUGGCGAAGGCAGGUCUCUGGGCUGUAACUGACGCUGAGGAGCGAAAGCAUGGGGAGCGAACAGGAUUAGAUACCCUGGUAGUCCAUGCCGUAAACGUUGGGCACUAGGUGUGGGGGACAUUCCACGUUUUCCGCGCCGUAGCUAACGCAUUAAGUGCCCCGCCUGGGGAGUACGGGCGCAAGGCUAAAACUCAAAGGAAU